UGUCCAGUAACUCCUAUCCCUACCUCCCCGUGCUGCAGCAUGGGGUACGAGUAACCGUAGGGAAGAUCAGGAAAUCAACCCCGGUAGGGCCUUGCUCGUAUGCUGACAGGGAAGG
rnacentral:ribozyme from 1 species